AUUGAACGCUGGCGGCAGGCCUAACACAUGCAAGUCGAACGGUAACAGGAAGAAGCUUGCUUCUUUGCUGACGAGUGGCGGACGGGUGAGUAAUGUCUGGGAAACUGCCUGAUGGAGGGGGAUAACUACUGGAAACGGUAGCUAAUACCGCAUAACGUCGCAAGACCAAAGAGGGGGACCUUCGGGCCUCUUGCCAUCGGAUGUGCCCAGAUGGGAUUAGCUAGUAGGUGGGGUAACGGCUCACCUAGGCGACGAUCCCUAGCUGGUCUGAGAGGAUGACCAGCCACACUGGAACUGAGACACGGUCCAGACUCCUACGGGAGGCAGCAGUGGGGAAUAUUGCACAAUGGGCGCAAGCCUGAUGCAGCCAUGCCGCGUGUAUGAAGAAGGCCGUCGGGUUGUAAAGUACUUUCAGCGGGGAGGAAGGGAGUAAAGUUAAUACCUUUGCUCAUUGACGUUACCCGCAGAAGAAGCACCGGCUAACUCCGUG
rnacentral:rRNA from 1 species